rnacentral:rRNA from 1 species
AGAGCGAACGCUGGCGGCAGGCCUAACACAUGCAAGUCGAGCGCCCGUAGCAAUACGGGAGCGGCAGACGGGAUAGUAACACGUGGGAACGCGCCCUUCGGUUCGGAAUAACUCAGGGAAACUUGAGCUAAUACCGAAUACGCCCUUACGGGGAAAGAUUUAUUGCCGAAGGAACGGCCCGCGUCCGAUUAGCUAGUUGGUGAGGUAAUGGCUCACCAAGGCUACGAUCGGUAGCUGGUCUGAGAGGAUGACCAGCAUCACUGGGACUGAGACACGGCCCAGACUCCUACGGGAGGCAGCAGUGGGGAAUAUGGACAAUGGGCGAAAGCCUGAUCCAGCCAUGCCGCGUGGAUGAUGAAGGCCUUAGGGUUGUAAGUCUUUAACGGGAGAUAAUGACGGUACCGUAGAAUAAGCCCGGCUAACUUCGCGCCAGCAGCCGC